rnacentral:sRNA from 1 species
AUUCUGCCCAAGCGGGGAAGGAUGAGAAGCUUCGACUAAGGUUCGACUCGAGCGCCAGCGAGAGAGCGUUGCCGCAGGCAACGCGACCCGAAGGGCGAAGCGCGCAGCGCUGAGUAAUCCUUCCCCCACCACCA